AGGUUUGCUUCCUCGCUAAUGUUUGAUUUUUUCAUGCCCACCUUAACAACGGCAACGUGAUGUUAUGCCACUAACUUGAGUUCAUCGAGAAGAUUCAAUAUGUUACUCUGAAUGCAUUUUGGUGUAAGGAUGUGAAUUAUAGCAUCUCCAAGGCAUUUGGGCGAGGAGAGCUCCUUUUCUUUUUUCCUUUCCACACUUGAGAUGGAUGUGUUUUCUUUCACUGUUUUUUCAUGGUCAAUAAAUCAAAUCAGAGAGGGCGGAACUGAUGUGCUUGGGCUGAUGAUGAACUAUGCAAUGGUGGUGGCUUGAUUGCUUAACCAAAGGUUCAUUUAGUAUUCAAGGCUUAUCUGCUCUGUAUCAAGCAAUGAAAUUGUUUUACAUCACAAAGUUUUCUUUCAUUGCAAAACCACUGCGUUCUAUUCCAAUCAGUUUGAAUU